AGGACGAACGCUGGCGGCGUGCCUAAUACAUGCAAGUCGAACGGUCUUUCUAUGGAAGCUUGCUUCCACUGAGAAGAUAGUGGCGAACGGGUGAGUAACACGUGGGUAACCUGCCCAUAAGAGGGGGGAUAACAUCCGGAAACGGGUGCUAAUACCGCAUAGUUUUCUUGAUUGCAUGAUUGAGAAAGGAAAGACGGCCUUUGUGCUGUCGCUUAUGGAUGGACCCGCGGCGUAUUAGUUAGUUGGUGAGGUAACGGCUCACCAAGACGAUGAUACGUAGCCGACCUGAGAGGGUGAUCGGCCACAUUGGGACUGAGACACGGCCCAAACUCCUACGGGAGGCAGCAGUAGGGAAUCUUCCGCAAUGGACGAAAGUCUGACGGAGCAACGCCGCGUGAGUGAAAGAAGGUUUUCGGAUCGUAAAACUCUGUUGUCAGAGAAGAACAAGUUGGAGAGUAACUGCUCCAGCCUUGACGGUAUCUGACCAGAAAGCCACGGCUAACUACGUGCCAGCCGCGGC
rnacentral:rRNA from 1 species